GACGGAGGGUGCAAGCGUUGCUCGGAAUCACUGGGCGUAAAGGGUGCGCAGGUGGGUUUGCAAGUUUGAUGUGAAAGCCCCGGGCUUAACCCGGGAAUGGCAUUGAAUACUGCAGAUCUGGAGGAUUGGAGGGGGGACUGGAAUUCUUGGUGUAGCAGUGAAAUGCGUAGAUAUCAAGAGGAACACCAGUGGCGAAGGCGAGUCCCUGGACAAUACCUGACACUGAGGCACGAAAGCCAAGGGAGCAAACAGG
rnacentral:rRNA from 1 species